UGUAUAAUGGGUCAGCGACUUAUAUUCUGUAGCAAGGUUAACCGUAUAGGGGAGCCGAAGGGAAACCGAGUCUUAACUGGGCGUUAAGUUGCAGGGUAUAGACCCGAAACCCGGUGAUCUAGCCAUGGGCAGGUUGAAGGUUGGGUAACACUAACUGGAGGACCGAACCGACUAAUGUUGAAAAAUUAGCGGAUGACUUGUGGCUGGGGGUGAAAGGCCAAUCAAACCGGGAGAUAGCUGGUUCUCCCCGAAAGCUAUUUAGGUAGCGCCUCGUGAACUCAUCUUCGGGGGUAGAGCACUGUUUCGGCUAGGGGGUCAUCCCGACUUACCAACCCGAUGCAAACUGCGAAUACCGAAGAAUGUUAUCACGGGAGACACACGGCGGGUGCUAACGUCCGUCGUGAAGAGGGAAACAACCCAGACCGCCAGCUAAGGUCCCAAAGUCACAGUUAAGUGGGAAACGAUGUGGGAAGGCUCAGACAGCCAGGAUGUUGGCUUAGAAGCAGCCAUCAUUUAAAGAAAGCGUAAUAGCUCACUGGUCGAGUCGGCCUGCGCGGAAGAUGUAACGGGGCUAAACUGUGCACCGAAGCUGCGGCAGCGACGCUUAUGCGUUGUUGGGUAGGGGAGCGUUCUGUAAGCCUGCGAAGGUGUCCUGUGAGGGAUGCUGGAGGUAUCAGAAGUGCGAAUGCUGACAUAAGUAACGAUAA
rnacentral:rRNA from 2 species